rnacentral:rRNA from 1 species
ACGCUCGACACCUACGGAGGCAGCAGUGGGGAAUAUUGCACAAUGGGGGAAACCCUGAUGCAGCGACGCCGCGUGAGUGAAGAAGUAAUUCGUUAUGUAAAGCUCUAUCAGCAGGGAAGAAAGUGACGGUACCUGAGUAAGAAGCCCCGGCUAACUACGUGCCAGCAGACGCGGUAAUCUGAGCGGGCUGGCAAGGC